GUGUAUCCUCUUUCCCCGGAUGUUUGGCCUCAUGUCCUGUGAGUGCCUCUUCAUAUGACAACAGUUUGUAAUGUUGUUUUCUUUUGAGUGAGUGGAAAGAAUUCUGUCUUUCUUCGGGUGUGGCUGAUGGAGCUUGUUGUGGAUUCUCGGUAGUUUACGGAAGUCCCUUUCGCCUGCAGGACUCUUCACCGCUGGUGACAUAUUGGGACCACCCCGGCCAUUUCUUGCUUGCAGAGAGCUGCUUCCCAGAGAUGACCUUGGGCGACUGUCUCCUGUGGGCCUCUCUAGGCAUGGGCUGCUGCACUGUUGCCUCAGUGGCUGGUGCUGCUUAGCUAGGUGACAGCAAUUCUUUUCUAUAGCUUAAGCUAUAGAAAGGAGGGAAUUUUUUGGUUGAUGCAAUUGAAAAGUGUCGGGGCAGAACCGUCUGGUUCCAGCGAGCAGAACUAGAGCGAUGGUUACUGAAAUCACCGGGAUGAACCUGUCCUCUCCCUGCGGCUUCACACUCAGGGGCAUGCUCCCCUCAUGGCGGAUCCAGGAGAUUUCAGGCUUCCAUCCUCUCAGGAACAUCUGACAUCACCUCUCAGCUGGGCGCGGCUGGUGCCCAGCUCCAGGUCCUAGUGGGAGUGCGGGUGGCUGGCAGUGACGUGCCCUUCCGCACAUUGCCCCGACCUCCAGAAGGCUCACUGCAGCAGGUCCUCUGUGACGUAGCCUGCUGGAAGCAGAGACUUGAGCUUUGUGAGGGCAGCUUAUCACCAAGAGCCAGUCCAAGCUGUACACAUGACCAUACUGGAGGGCAUGCUAAUGAGGACACAUGACCACACUGGAGGGCAUGCUAAUUAGGACACAUGACCACACUGGAGGGCAUGCUAAUGAGGACACAUGACCACACUGGAGGGCAUGCUAAUUAGGACACAUGACCACACUGGAGGGCAUGCUAAUGAGGACACAUGACCACACUGGAGGGCAUGCUAAUGAGGACACAUGACCACACUGGAGGGCAUGCUAAUGAGGACACAUGACCACACUGGAGGGCAUGCUAAUUAGGACACAUGACCACACUGGAGGGCAUGCUAAUUAGGACAUUUGGACUGUAUUUUAUUAAUGGCCUUUGGCAAAAGUCCACUAAGAACUCUGAUGCCAGUACCAUCAGCAAGUGAGAAUUCCAAAUUUGCUGUUCUCUCCAAAGCCACCAUAGAGAAGCUGGGGGAGGGGUGAGUCUGUGAGUUCUCCCAGACGCACCAACAGCUUCAAAAAGGGGGGAAAAAUCCACCUUUCCCUUCUAAAACAGUAAUACUGUUGGCUGAAGAGACUUUCUUGCUUUGAGAAAAUGUCAUUGAUAAAUCCUGAAGCUAAAUGUAGAAAUUCUAGAGAGAGAAAAAUCAUAAUUGGAUCAGAUCUUUUUUUAUAAAGCCAGAGAAAAUGUACUGGAAAAUUCCUAGUAACUGAAAGUAACUUUUGUGAAGUCAGGAACUUCCAAACUAAACACAUCGACUAAUCCAGGCCUCUGCUGAGUAAUUCUCAGGGAACUGAUGUGAGUGUGGCCUCCAGUGAAAUCUUAUUUUUGCUAUGCAAAUAAGCUAGGGCACUUAUGAGUGACAACCAAAUGAUCUGAGAAUUGGGUAUUAGCUGUGUUGAAGAGUUUCCUUUAUGCCGGUCCUAGGAAAGCUUUAGUGUCUCCACAGACGAAUUUAUUUACUCUGUCACCAUGUAUUUCUUGAGCUCUGGCUGGUUGAUAGGCUCUGAGUAAGUGCUGGGAUAUGAGCUUGAGGGAAGCAGACAGUCCUGCCUUCACACUUACGUGCCCUGUGGGGAACAGAGACUGGAUUCAGAAAUAAAAUGUGUGCUUUAUUCCGCA
rnacentral:lncRNA from 13 species